rnacentral:lncRNA from 1 species
ACCGUAGAAAAUAUAUCACAACCGACUCAUCAUAAUAUGGGUAACGCAAUAUUACGUACGAAACAAAUAGGUCUUUUUUCAUCAUAUUUUCUGACCGUUCGUAACACAAUAUUCUGCCGAUGCUUUGACCCCAAACGAAGUCUAAGUUAUUAUUAGCGGGUCAGAAUCGUUAUAUUUAGUAUCGAAACCGAUUCACUUGCCGGAAGAUAUGAUUCUAUGAGUCUUCAACUUAUCUAGUAUUUCUUUUAUAAGUUUAGGGAGACAAGAUCCCAUAUUGCUUGAUUUUUUUGACUUUAACUUUGGUAAUAAUUUAACUCGAAUUUAAUCUGAUUUGGGUUAACGAGUUAUUAUAUGCUAAUGGGCUGAGUUAUUUUUGACUAGCGGGUCGAAUCGCUAUAUGAGAUAUAUCGUGCUCACUCAUGUUUAAUUAGUAAUUCAAUCGAAACUAUUGAAUUGGUGAGGUGUACACAUUUGUUUAAUAUCUCUCUUCUUCUAUUCAUUUAUUUGAGGCCUCUAAAGUUGAAACAAGCCCCGGUUACUGUUGAAUUUACCUUGUUGCCAGUGCAUAAAAGCGUUACCUUUGUAGAGCCCAAUAUCCCUGCUGCAACGGUUUCAGAUAUUUGAUCCUUGAUGAUAUUUACAAAGUUGGUGUAACGUCGCAAUCAGGCCAAAAAACAAAAGAGUCAACGAAACGGAGUGCUUCAAAGUGUCAGCGAUUACGUAAGCUUUGUUCACGAAAAAUUGCCAUAAUAAAACUGCAAAUUUUGAAAAUUAUUAUUGUACUUAUUUAUAAUUUAUAAUUUACAAUUUUGUAGUUGGAAAUUUUGAAUGCAGUGCUUUGCUUUUUACGAUUUUUAUUGCAUUUUGGGAAAAAACAUAUAAAGAUGAUCUGAACUUUUGCAGUUUUGUAAACAAACUUAAAUUUUUAUUUCAAUUAUUAAUUUUUGUGGUUUAUUAAAUAGCUUAAUAGGUUUUAUUAGGUUAGCGAAGUUACUAAUUAAAUAGUGUUAAAUAUAAAAUUAUAUAAACAUUAUUUUCUAAUAACUUAAGCUUUUAGUGCAUAAUGAUUGUUAUACAUGGUAUCCUAGGUUGUUUCACAAAUUAUUAUUUUAAUCGUAUACUAAAUAAAAUUUGUUAUUUUUAUAACAAUUAAGGAUCGAAAUUAAAAGCCAUAGUGAAUUUAUUUUCUAUUUUUAUUAUUUUUCAUAUCUUAGAAUAAGUAAAAAUAAAAUUUUUUAUGUUUUAAAGUUGUACAAAUUUACAUGACGCAAAACUAACUACAAAACAACUACAUAAUAAAUAACUUUAAUUCAGGAGAGCCCGUUGAGCCAUUUAAUAAAUAUUGAAUCCGUUUUAGCAAAAGUGCUAAAGUUUAGGUAGUUUUUCCGCAUUUUUUAUUUUUUGUUUUCUAUUUACAGAUUAUAAAAUUUACGCUUUUACUGUAAUUAAGGNNCCCGUCGAAAGGGACCUGAUUAAUAAAACAAGUAAGACCCCCAUAAACGAAGCGUACCGUAACCACAGUACGACGCGGGUAGGUAAAACGUGACCAAAGGGUCAUGUACCCAUUCCACGUCAAAUUAACGAGUCUAAGACCCCCGUAGGACAACGUAGAUAUGAUCCACGUGGUAUUAACAUUAAAAAAUUUAAAAAAUUUUAACAUUGAAUUAUACAAUCGUAUAUACAUAGAAUUUUUGUCCCACCACCACCACCACCACCACCACUCCACAUCCUCCUCGUUUUCUACCAGAAAAUGAUGCUUGAAUCGGUACGCACGCCUUCUUUGUGAUUGGCUUGUGUUGCCUGCCUUGCAGUACAAUGCAAAGCUGGGUGAUUGAGUUUGCAGCUGAUGCAACUUCCGCACUUCCUUCACCUUCUUUCUCUUCCGAAAACUACAUCAAUGGAAUCAAAUUGUUACAGAAACUUUGAAAACGAUCGCAUUCUAUUUUAUAUAUAUAUUUAUUUAAAAUUUUUCAAAAUAGUUAAAUUGAAUAGGGGCAAUUACUUGUAUAUUUCUAAAAAGUUUUAAACUUUUCUUAUUUACCUUCCCUAGAAGGCUAAUAUAAAAAAUACAUUUUUUUUAACGUUCUAAGUUCUUCCAAAUAUAUCUUGACAGUUAAAUUCUGUUAGUGGACUAUAAAAAACAGCCGUUAUUUCUAUGAAAUUACUAUUUCGUCCUUUUAAAUAUAUCAUUCUAUCGUCAUUAAUUUUUCUGGUAUUGAGAUCUAUCUGACGCUGUUAGAUAAAAUGGAGUUAGGAAAAAAACAUAUAGGGAAAUGCUUCUGCAUUCUCCGGUGGGACCGUAGAAAAUAUAUCACAACCGACUCAUCAUAAUAUGGGUAACGCAAUAUUACGUACGAAACAAAUAGGUAUUUUUUCAUCAUAUUUUCUCACCGCACGUAACACAAUAUUCUCCCCGCAACCCCAAACGAAGCCUAAGUUAAUUAGGGGCAAGAAUAAUAUUUUAACUUUUGCGAAGAUAUCAUUCUAUGGUCACCAACUUAUUAAUAUUUAUUUUUAAGUUAGGGACAAAAGAUAUAUUUUGAUUUUUUUUUUAACUCUGAUAAAAAUUUAACCCGAAUUUAAUCUGAGAUGACUUAACGAGUUAACAGAUACUAACAAUAAGUUAUUUUUGAAUAAUAGAAAAAUAUAUGAGAAAUAUAUUUAAAACCAAAAAAAUAAAGAUAUAUAAGAUAUUUUAAGAGGUAU